UACGUAGGGGGCUAGCGUUGUCCGGAAUCAUUGGGCGUAAAGCGCGUGUAGGCGGCUCGGUAAGUCCGCUCUGAAAGCCUGGGGCUCAACCCCAGGAGGCGGGUGGAUACUGCCGGGCUCGAGUCCGGAAGAGGCGAGUGGAAUUCCUGGUGUAGCGGUGAAAUGCGCAGAUAUCAGGAGGAACACCAAUUGCGAAGGCAGCUCGCUGGGACGUUACUGACGCUGAGACGCGAAAGCGUGGGGAGCAAACAGG
rnacentral:rRNA from 1 species